GGUCCAUCAGAUACUGGUUAUGAUCCAGUCAGAUGUUUGCUGUGACAGAGCUCCAGUGUGUCCGUGCAUAGGUUCCUCUCUCUCUCUCGCUCUUCCCCUCUCCCCUCUCAGCCAGCGUGUGUACAGCCUGAUCCUGCUGUCACUGCCGAGCGGUGUGUCUAAGGCGGCGGCCCGUGUGCUGGAGGAGGAUAUGAGGGCUAAUAUGAGGAUGGCCUGUCCAUCAUCACAGCCGCAGGAUAUUGCUGCCCACAUAAACCCUGAUGUCCUGAAAACAUAUUUACAUGUUGGAGACAGCUGGGCCAAUUGGACAGUUCUCUACC
ensembl:lncRNA